UCGGGAAUUUUGGGCAAUGGGCGAAAGCCUGACCCAGCAACGCCGCGUGAAGGAUGAAGUAUUUCGGUAUGUAAACUUCGAAAGAAUAGGAAGAAUAAAUGACGGUACUAUUUAUAAGGUCCGGCUAACUACGUGCCAGCAGCCGCGGUAAUACGUAGGGACCAAGCGUUGUUCGGAUUUACUGGGCGUAAAGGGCGCGUAGGCGACGUGGUAAGUCAUCUGUGAAAUCUCCGAGCUUAACUCGGAACGGUCAGAUGAUACUGCUGUGCUAGAGUACAGAAAGGGCAAUCGGAAUUCUUGGUGUAGCGGUGAAAUGCGUAGAUAUCAAGAGGAACACCUGAGGUGAAGACGGGUUGCUGGGCUGACACUGACGCUGAGGCGCGAAAGCCAGGGGAGCAAA
rnacentral:rRNA from 1 species